UCGUGGCACGAGCGCGCGCGCCUCCGGAGCGGCCGCCCGCACUCGCUGGACCGCCAGGGGGCCUUCCGCGUCCGGAGCCUGCCCCCCAGCAGAGAGGGCUUUGGCCGAGCCCCGGGUCCCCGGACACAGGUGGCCACAGUGUAUUUGUCCCGGAGAUCACCCGAAAGGGCCCCCGUGCAAGUCUUUGUGCCUGAGAAUGGCGAGAUCGUCAGCCAGGUGUAACCAAGGCCAGGUGUCACCGCGUGCCCCACGUGCCUUGGCCCUGCUACCAGAAAAGACUGUUCCACAGCAGGGCUGGAGCUGAGCCCUCCCACCCUUGAAUGCCUUCUUCAGUCCUUUACCCCCAUCGCAGGUCGAUGAGCUGGGGCUGAGCCUUUUUUUUAAUUUUUUUUUUUUUCCGGAAACCCGGACCUUAGGAUUUAUGUUUGUGAUUUGUCCUCAGGAUCCCAAUAAUAUGAUGAUGCUUUAUUCCCCAGAGCUUGGUCUAUUGGACUUGAGGCCUUGCCUGUCUGACUGACAGUGGCAGGGGAUGCAGGAGUCAGAGGGGGCCAUAUCGGGAUUCCUCACAGACUCUACCCUCUGGCUCAGAGAAUGUCCCCACAGAACAGCUCCUGUCUUUACUGCAGCUAGAGGAAUACUAGUGUGCCCCCCCUGCCCCCCAAUUUCCCAGCUCUCUGGGUACCGUAGGGGUGUCUGGGCAGGGGGAGAAUCUUCUUCCCCCUUUAUAAUGUGCUCUGUGAUGCACACGUGAAGUGGUAGGUUAAAGAUCAUACGUCCUGGUGGAGUCUUGUCUUCCUGGAUGAACCCUGCUCUUUUCCUCACCCCAUAAGCACCCCCCCCAUAGGGGCCACAGUCACUCACCAUAUGUUCUCUGUGCCCUGUGGGCUCCCACAUGUACUCAGACCUCUGAGCCUUGAAUUUGAGGCUUUGCCAGAUUGUAGCAUUAGGAGGCCCAGGCUGGGGGCUGGCCGGUGGUGUUUGGGGGAGGGCAGCUCAUACUUUGGUUACCUUUUCUGGGAUCGUGAACGCUUGCAACCCCACCCUUCCUUCUAUCACUUUUCAUUAUAGUCCUAAAAAGCAAUGUCUUCCGGAUAUUUUUGGAAAGGCACCAUGUUUGUGGCAUAUUCUCAUAGGAGGAGGUGGGGGGUCACUGCCCCUGCUGUUCCUCACCCAGCUGUGCUUCUGCUCUAAGACUGGAUUUCCCUGAAAGUGGACAAGUCCUUAUCUUUACAAAUAUGGGGAACGCUCACUCUUAAGGUCAUUAAUUGUCCCAUGUGCUAAGACUUGAGCAGGCCUGGAAACUGCGUGUGCUAAGACUAUCGCAUAGUCCCUGGGUUCUCAUCCUUGGGCCUUUUUGCCCUCAGAUCUCCUGCUCCAAGGAGAAAGCACAGAGCGGAGGCGAGGUGGGGUGAGGGAGAGCUGAGUUCUGAUUCUGCCCAUGCAGAACCCUUUCCCCUCUGAGUGCCCCGGACUUGGACAGAAACUACAAAUAACAGCUUGCACCUCCAAUAACUUGGAUGCCUGUCCGCAAAAAAACACAGUUCUCCCCACUGGACAGAAGGCAGUGUGGCCAACUGCACCAGGUUCCCGAGGGAGGAACUUAGGUGGCCCAUCAGAACAAUCUGGGGGAGGAGAGGAGAGCCUGAGGGCAAGCACCUGCAUCUCUGUCACUGCGCUCAGACCACAUCCUGCAGCUCCCCCACUUUUUGGGUGGGCGCUGGCCCCAUUAUGUUCGAAUGUCCUACUUUGGAUUCUGUUCUCUUUCAUUUUGUCUCGAAGCCCCUUUCACUGGUGUACAGCCAUCUCCCCUCCCUGUGUCCUCCGGGGAGCCCAGAGCUCUCUAGGCUGAGCCAGGAGACAUCCAAGCACCCCCCCCACACACACACGUGAGCGUCCUUUAUGUUAACUUAUUGGUUCUGUAUGACGCCUGGUACUUGGCUGUGGGGCCGGAACUGUAUGGGUUUUAGUGCCAAAUACGUCAAUAAAGUCUGUUCUUUGUGAUUGGUCGA